CAGUCUUGCUCCCCACAGAGCUCUGAGGAGCCUGAACCAAGAGCUUGCUCAACAGAGAGGAGACACAGGUGCCAGGAAGCACCAGGUUCCCUGAAGAAGGGCCAUUUCUAAAAAUACCUGCUGACACGGGAGUGCCCUCUUUGAGAACCCAGUCUCUGGGCUGGGGCCAUAUCUCCAGCUGAGGUGGGCUGGAAAGGAGCCCCCAGACAGCUCAGCUUAAGCCAUGGCCUCUGCACGCAUCUCAACGCUUGCAAUUCUCUUCACACUGAGUGGGCUGAGAGCUCAGUCGGUGACUCAGCCAGAAGAUCAGGUCACUGUGACCGAAGGGGAUCCAAUGACUGUGAAGUGCACCUAUUCAAUUCCUGGGAGCCCUAAUCUCUUUUGGUACGUCCAAUAUCCCAACCAAGGCCUCCAGUUCCUUCUGAAAUACUUUACAGGGGACAACCUGGUUAAAGGCAGCAACGGUUUUGUGGCUGAAUUUAAUAAGAGCCAAACCUCUUUCCACCUGAAGAAACCAUCUGUCCUCAGUAGUGACUCUGCUGUGUACUUCUGUGCUGGGAGUGACACAGUGGUGGGGGCUGCAGGGAGAGCUGAACACAAACCCCUGAGAACAUUCUGUGGUGGAAUGUGCUGCUUCGGGGAGAGUCACCUUCCAGCCUCUGGCUUACCCCUUGUGGUCUACUCCCCUUCUUUUCCUGUCCCUAAGUCCAUCACUUACCAGAGGGGCUUUACAUACAAAGAUGUGGACACCUUAGUCUACAUGCCUAAGAUCCCUGCAAACAUCCAUCUCUUGGCCACUCCUUGGGCCUAG